UUGGAAGGGAAGGAGUGUAACAAGGUUUCCGUAGGUGAACCUGCGGAAGGAUCAUUG
rnacentral:rRNA from 1 species